CCAAGUAAUGAUAUUUGUCUUAUAUUAUCUUCAAAAAUAUACUUGUAUGAUUAGGCCACAGUGACACCAACUUGUACUUUUCUCAGGAUUUCUCCGUCGACAAAAUCUGGCUACAUGAGAAGUACAGUGCAUACGGCUUCCUCGACAACGACAUCGCCCUCAUCAAGAUCAAACGGAAGAGAGGACAUGGACUGAGGUUUGGCCCGAGGGUGAAGCCCAUCUGUCUCCCUGACGCCCGUGACUCCUACGAUGACCUGCAGGGAUGUGUGGUGAUGGGAUGGGGCGAACAGAUCUUUGUACCUGAGCGUCCCUUCCGGCCAUCCCCACGAGUGUUGCACUUCACUCCCACCAUCGUCGUAGACCGCACGUGUCAGCUGCUGGCUGGGGCUAAGAACUAUUCGUCGUCCAAUGCAUGCUUCAGGGCAGUGACCUCGAGUUCGUCCGUGUGCCGUGGGGACUCUGGAGGUCCUCUGGCCUGCAUGGUGGAUGGUAAAAUCACUCUCUAUGGCGUGGUGUCCAGGGGUGUAUUAUGCGUCCAGCCCAAUAACCUUCCACAGAUAUACACUCGAGUAACAAAGUAUAUUCGUUGGAUUCUGGAGAAAAUUGCUGCUGAAGAGUAAUAACCCAACCCUAUAUAUUCUUACUACCAAAGAUAGAUAUCAACAUAGGAGUUUGAAUAUCUAUGUUGAUGUAAUGAGGAGGAUGAUAAAGGAGCAACUGAAAAAUUUAUGAAUGAUGGGAACCUGGAAGUCUUGGCUUUAAAGGGAGGGAGAAGAAAAACGCUGAUGGGAACAAGUGUAGACCAUAAAGUGAACAUUGAAGGAAGAAGAACAGAGUGGCAGUGCUGUUGACUGAUGGAGUACAAGUAUGUGUUAUUUAAAAUGAGAUUUGACAAAAGGAUGAAUAAGUGAAGUGCAUACUCGUAGAUGUUCCAAAGAAAAAGGAAAGAAAGUGGUUUAGGCAAGGAAUGAAUAGCUGAAUUUAAUGUUUGAAUUUGAGGGAUAAAGUGAUAUCGAGUAUGACAGCGAAAUGGACGUGAUUUGGGAUAGACAGGACAUUCAAGAAAAGAAUGGAAAGACUGAUAGAAAUGCACUGUAUGCUGACUACUGAGAGAUAAUUAAUAAUAAGUGUGGAUAUUUAAAGGGAAGGAAAUUGAUAAGUACAGUAUGUGAAUACAUCGACCACUGAUUAGUACAGGGUCCGGCAGAGAAACUUCACGGUUUUUAAAAACGGGCUGUGCUCGAAAUCGUUGGAGUGGGGGAAGCGACAUUGAACGCACGUGCAGUUUAACUGAACUGACCGGAAACAACAUGAGGGAGGGAGUGGCAGCAAUACCUCUCGAAAUGGCACAUCGAGUAAUGGGGAAUUUUCGCUCCCAACUGCAAAAAUGUGUAAAUAACAAUGGACACCAUCUCACUGAUGUAAUUUUUAAGAAGUGAAGCUUGUACAUAAAAUGUUUUGGUUAAUUUGGGUUUAAAAAUUUUGGGUAAUUUAUAUAUAUAUAUAUAUAUAUAUAACCGUCAGCUGGUGUUUCUCUUCCGGACCCUGUGUAUUAAAAUCAAUCUGUAGCCCUAAAUCAUUGAGUUACUUCGAAUCUUAUGGUAUCCUAUAAAUAAUGUAAAUACUGUAGUUGUGUACUGAGCUAUCUUCCUGUUUGGGGGCACUUUGUGAUGUGUGUGUGUGUGUGUGUUUUGUGCAUGUAUGCGUGUGCUCUGCGCAUACCCCUCCAGGUCAGGGCCUGGUUAAGAUUAGGGGGGGGGUCUUUAUGCCAAGAGCUUUAGGGGGGGGGCAGGGCUCAUGUAUUCACUAUCAACUGUAUAAUUUCUUUAGAUCUUAGUAAAUUAAAAUACGAUUGGAAUUUAUCUCCAAGAGGCAUUUAUUUAUAAUUUAUAAUUCUGCACAAGAUGAUAUUGUAGGGGUAUCGAGAUAUGAUGUUGUCUAGCACUCA